AUUCAUCUGACGAAUCCAAAAUAGGAUGAAACGCCCGUCUUGGAU
rfam:Schistosoma rodhaini strain Burundi genome assembly, scaffold: SROB_scaffold0003058